AUAAUGGGUCAGCGACUUAUAUUCUGUAGCAAGGUUAACCGAAUAGGGGAGCCGAAGGGAAACCGAGUCUUAACUGGGCGUUAAGUUGCAGGGUAUAGACCCGAAACCCGGUGAUCUAGCCAUGGGCAGGUUGAAGGUUGGGUAACACUAACUGGAGGACCGAACCGACUAAUGUUGAAAAAUUAGCGGAUGACUUGUGGCUGGGGGUGAAAGGCCAAUCAAACCGGGAGAUAGCUGGUUCUCCCCGAAAGCUAUUUAGGUAGCGCCUCGUGAAUUCAUCUCCGGGGGUAGAGCACUGUUUCGGCAAGGGGGUCAUCCCGACUUACCAACCCGAUGCAAACUGCGAAUACCGGAGAAUGUUAUCACGGGAGACACACGGCGGGUGCUAACGUCCGUCGUGAAGAGGGAAACAACCCAGACCGCCAGCUAAGGUCCCAAAGUCAUGG
rnacentral:rRNA from 1 species